CUCGAUGUCGGCUCAUCACAUCCUGGGGCUGAAGUAGGUCCCAAGGGUAUGGCUGUUCGCCAUUUAAAGUGGUACGCGAGCUGGGUUUAGAACGUCGUGAGACAGUUCGGUCCCUAUCUGCCGUGGGCGCUGGAGAACUGAGGGGGGCUGCUCCUAGUACGAGAGGACCGGAGUGGACGCAUCACUGGUGUUCGGGUUGUCAUGCCAAUGGCACUGCCCGGUAGCUAAAUGCGGAAGAGAUAAGUGCUGAAAGCAUCUAAGCACGAAACUUGCCCCGAGAUGAGUUCUCCCUGAGACUUUAGGUCUCCUGAAGGAACGUUGAAGACGACGACGUUGAUAGGCCGGGUGUGUAAGCGCAGCGAUGCGUUGAGCUAACCGGUACUAAUGAACCGUGAGGCUUAACCUUACAACGCCGAAG
rnacentral:rRNA from 4 species